rnacentral:rRNA from 1 species
AUUGAACGCUGGCGGCAUGCCUUACACAUGCAAGUCGAACGGCAGCGGACCUUCGGGUGCCGGCGAAUGGCGAACGGGUGAGUAAUAUAUCGGAACGUACCUUUCAGUGGGGGAUAACGUAGCGAAAGUUACGCUAAUACCGCAUAUUCUGUGAGCAGGAAAGCAGGGGAUCGCAAGACCUUGCGCUGAUUGAGCGGCCGAUAUCAGAUUAGCUAGUUGGUGAGGUAAAGGCUCACCAAGGCGACGAUCUGUAGCGGGUCUGAGAGGAUGAUCCGCCACACUGGAACUGAGACACGGUCCAGACUCCUACGGGAGGCAGCAGUGGGGAAUUUUGGACAAUGGGCGCAAGCCUGAUCCAGCCAUGCCGCGUGAGUGAAGAAGGCCUCGGUUGUAAGACUCUUCUAGCCGGAAGAAACGGACAUAGGUUAAGUACCGUACGUGUGGAGUGACGGUACCGGAACGUAAGAAG